UUUAUUGGAGAGUUUGAUCCUGGCUCAGGAUGAACGCUGGCGGCGUGCCUAAUACAUGCAAGUCGAGCGAAUGGAUUAAGAGCUUGCUCUUAUGAAGUUAGCGGCGGACGGGUGAGUAACACGUGGGUAACCUGCCCAUAAGACUGGGAUAACUCCGGGAAACCGGGGCUAAUACCGGAUAACAUUUUGAACUGCAUGGUUCGAAAUUGAAAGGCGGCUUCGGCUGUCACUUAUGGAUGGACCCGCGUCGCAUUAGCUAGUUGGUGAGGUAACGGCUCACCAAGGCAACGAUGCGUAGCCGACCUGAGAGGGUGAUCGGCCACAC
rnacentral:rRNA from 1 species